rnacentral:rRNA from 1 species
AUGCAAUCCGGUGCCGGUGAUGGCGUUGCUGUCGGCAGAAGCUCUCCUCUUGGUACCACCAUAAUUGGGAUUAUCAGUAAGCGGAAGCAGCGCCUGCCCCAGAUUGCACUGGAUUUCUCACAUUUAAUGGCUCGUUUGGAUGAUGCGAGAGAAAGAUGCAAAAGUUUCCAGCUUGCUCCGGAGACAGCCAUCAAACCUGACCAUGGGCAAGCCAGUACCAGCCGCCACACACCUGACCUGCCCCUCGACCUGCCGGUGUCGGCCGUGUCAAUCUCCAAUGCCCAUGUGAACACCGCUGGCUGUAGCCUAGUUGGUGUAGAACAACCCAUGAAGAAGCUUGUUCACUUGCUGGCUUUCGGCGAGGACAACCAGAAGCAACUCAAGGUAAUACCUAUCUCUGGAUCUGCAGGAGUGGGAAAAACUACGGUUGCCAGAACCAUAUAUCAUCAGUACGGAGGGGAGUUCCAGUGCCGGGCUUUUGUAAGGGUGUCCCGAAAUCCUGAUAUGAGGAGGCUUCUCACCAGCAUCCUCUCACAAACAAAGGCACCAUGGACUCAUGCCUUUUCUCAUGCGCAGGACCUUAUUGACAGUAUCAUCGAACAUCUUCAAGGAAAAAGCUACUUCAUUGUAGUCGAUGAUUUAUGGGCAUCAUCAGAAUGGGAUAUUAUUAGCCGUGCUUUUCCUUAUGGUGAUCGUUGCAGCAGAAUACUGACAACCACGCAAGUUGAGGAUGUAGCAUUAGCAUGCUCUCGUUAUGAGUCAGAAUACAUAUUUGAGAUGAGACCUCUUAAUUAUGGUGAAUCUCAGAAAUUAUUCUUCAAUAAUGUUUUUGGUUCCGAAUGUGAAGGUGCUUGCCCUAAAGAGUUUGAAGUAGUUGCAGAUAGGAUUAUCAGGAAAUGCGGUGGUUUACCGUUAUCAAUUGUAAGUAUAGCAAGCCUGUUGCUCCCAAGCAAGUGGAACCCUGCAAUGUGGGAGAAGGUAGAAAGUUCUCUACCCUCCACUUUGAGGACAGAUCCUACUUCCCAAGGGAUGAAAGAUGUUAUAAUCCUUAUUUACAAUAAGCUUCCACUUCACUUGAAGGCAUGCUUGCUCUACCUUGGUAUGUAUCCAGAGGGCCGCACUAUCAUGAAGGAUGAUUUGGUGAAGCAAUGGGUAGCUGAAAGUUUGGUCAGUGACACUGAUUAUGGUUGCUUUGACGAGCUUGUCAGAAGAGGUAUGAUCCAGCCUGUUGACACCAACUACGACGGGGAGGUUUUGUCAUGUACAGUUAACCACAUGGUAAUGGAUCUUAUCAGGUACAAAUCCAUUGAGGAGAAUUUCAUCAUUGUUGUGAAAUAUUUUGAAUCAACUCUGCUGCUUCCUGACAAGGUUCGUCGAUUGUCCCUCCAGUUCGGAGGUUCAAAAAGUGCAAAGAUACCAGAAAGCAUCAGAGUGUCCCAAGUUCGAUCACUUCUGUUUUGUGGAUCCUCCAGAUGUGUGCCUUCCAUUCCGGAUUAUGGCAUUCUCCGAGUCCUGAUUCUUCAUAUUUGGGCUGAUCAAGAUCAGAUGAGUUUUGACCUCACUAGAAUCAAUGAGCUAUUUCGACUGAGAUAUCUGAUGGUUGAAUGUAAUAUCACCAUCAAUUUGCCAGACAAGAUUAAAGGAUUACAAUACUUGGAGACACUGCAAUUAGAUGGAAGACUAUCCGCUGUUCCAUCAGAUAUUGGUCAUUUGGAGAAUUUACGGCACCUCUGCCUUCCAAGCGAGGCUAAUGUGAGGGACCUUGACAGGCUGACCAAUCUCCAGGAUCUUCAUCUCACCCUUUCUACAGCACAUCCAAUUGAGAAUCUGGAGGUUACCAUGAAAUGCAUGGGCUCAAUUCUCCACAAACUCAACAACCUCAAGUCUAUAAUUCUGGCAUCUGCAGGUUCCUUUCCCAUAAAUACUUCAAGUCUGAGCAUUUCGUGUGAUGGCUUGAGCAACGUGUCCCCUGUUCUGGCCCAUCUUGAGAGACUUGAGCUAUUGCCACAGGUUUGCAUCUUUCCCAGCCUCCCAAAGUGGUUUAAAACACUCGACAAACUCUGCACUCUAAAGAUAGCAAUUAGAGAGUUGUCGAACAGUGAUAUGGAUAUCGUUAAAGGAUUGCCUGCCCUCAGUGCUCUCUGGCUGUAUAUCCAGACAGCGCCGACAGAGACGAUUGUCUUUGGCAAGUCCGGAUUUUCAGCUCUCAAGUACUUCAAGUUGAGGUGCAGUGAACCUUUGCUGAAAUUCGAGGCUGAUGCAAUGCCUAAUCUUCGGAAGCUCAAAUUAGUCUUCAGUGUCCAGGAAGUGCAGCAGCAUAGAGUUGUACCUAUCUGCAUUGAGCACCUGGCAGGGCUUAAAGAGAUAUCCGCGAAAAUUGGGGGUGCAGGUGCUGCUGGCACAGAGUCUGCCUUGAGGAUUUCUGUUAGCAAUGAUCCAAAAAAUCCAAAAAUCAACUGUCAACUGGUGAACUGGAACUUCUAUGCUGAAGAUAGAAUUAUAGCGAUACCAGACCAAGCAGCCAUAAUUAUAGAAGAACGGGGUGAGAUCCUGGAGGAAAACACAGAAUAUGAGUACAAAGGGGAAGAUGGGGACAGGCAAGCUGAUAGCGGGACUUCUACGCUGCCGGAAUCCUCUCCCUCGUUCCCUUUGAGACCCACCGGCCAGCUAUAUGGCCAGAGGCUCCUUUCUGUGUGGUCCAGGGCCAGGCACACCUUGAAAGCCGUGCCCCGCACCUUGAAAGCCAGGCCCCACACCUUGAAACCUGCCUCUGAGGGCCACGACGGUCUCCUCUGGUGGUACAACCUCGUGCCAUGCAACGCCGGUGAGCUCUCCAUGGCCUAUGUUCAGGCUAAUAGGCUGAUGGAGGACCAUUGUCGCGUAGAUUCAUCUCCUACCCUCGGCACCUUUGUUGGUAUUUUUGAUGGUCAUGGUGGUGCCGAAGCUGCCCGCUUCACUGCUGAGCAUCUCUUCCCUAAUAUCCAAUCCGAAGCCACGUCUAGCUGGCAGGGCGUGACAGAGGAAACCAUCAGGAAGGCGUUCCUGGACACAGAUGAAAGCUUCAUCGCUCAUGUCGAGAAACAAUGGUUAGUCAAGCCCCAGCUUGCCGCCGUUGGGUCAUGCUGCCUUGUCGGCGUCGUGCACCAGCGGACACUCUUCGUCGCCAACCUCGGGGACUCCCGGGCUGUUCUCGGGAAAGUUGGUCUCAAUGGGAAGAUUGACCCAGUGCAGCUGACCACUGAACAUGUUGCCUCUGACGAGAGUGUCAGGCAGGAGCUCAGGGAUCAGCACCCCGAUGAUCCGCAUAUUGUGGUGCUUAAGCAUGGUGUCUGGAGAGUGAGAGGCUUCAUACAGGUCCUUCUUAUCCUAAUGUUUGGUUUUAUGUUGCAGUACGUGCAUACAUGUUCGGCGCUUACACAGUGGAUGAUGCAGGUGUCCAGAACAAUAGGUGACGCAUACUUGAAACAUGAGCACUUUAACAGGGAACCGCUCCAUAGUAAGUUCAGGCUUCGGGAACCAUUCAGCCGGCCUAUAUUGAGUGCCAACCCAUCUAUCAUGUCACACAGUCUUCAACCAAGUGACCGUUUCAUCAUAUUUGCCUCCGACGGUCUGUGGGAACACUUGAGUAAUGAGACAGCCGUCAAGAUUGUUCACAAACAUGGGCGUACUGGAAUUGCGAGAAGGCUUAUAGAAGCAGCUCUCCAGGAAGCGGGGAAGAAACGAGAGCUUACUUUGAAAGAUAUCAUGAAGAUCGAGAGUGGCGUUCGCAGGCAUUUCCACGAUGAUAUAACCGUGGUUGUCUUGUUUAUAGAUCAUGGCCUAUCAGCGAAAGAUCAUGCACAAGAAAGCCGGGCCCUUUCCAUAAGUGUACCUUCGGGCCUCGGCGAUCUAGCCUGGGCGUAA